rnacentral:rRNA from 1 species
GAUGGGAGCUUGCUCCCUGAGAUUAGCGGCGGACGGGUGAGUAACACGUGGGCAACCUGCCUAUAAGACUGGGAUAACUUCGGGAAACCGGAGCUAAUACCGGAUACGUUCUUUUCUCGCAUGAGAGAAGAUGGAAAGACGGUUUACGCUGUCACUUAUAGAUGGGCCCGCGGCGCAUUAGCUAGUUGGUGAGGUAAUGGCUCACCAAGGCGACGAUGCGUAGCCGACCUGAGAGGGUGAUCGGCCACACUGGGACUGAGACACGGCCCAGACUCCUACGGGAGGCAGCAGUAGGGAAUCUUCCGCAAUGGACGAAAGUCUGACGGAGCAACGCCGCGUGAACGAAGAAGGCCUUCGGGUCGUAAAGUUCUGUUGUUAGGGAAGAACAAGUACCAGAGUAACUGCUGGUACCUUGACGGUACCUAACCAGAAAGCCACGGCUAACUACGUGCCAGCAGCCGCGGUAAUACGUAGGUGGCAAGCGUUGUCCGGAAUUAUUGGGCGUAAAGCGCGCGCAGGUGGUUCCUUAAGUCUGAUGUGAAAGCCCACGGCUCAACCGUGGAGGGUCAUUGGAAACUGGGGAACUUGAGUGCAGAAGAGGAAAGUGGAAUUCCAUGUGUAGCGGUGAAAUGCGUAGAGAUCUGGAGGAACACCAGUGGCGAAGGCGACUUUCUGGUCUGUAACUGACACUGAAGCGCGAAAGC